rnacentral:lncRNA from 1 species
CCCGGAUUGUUCAGUUAUUUGCUAGUAAACAGCACAACCGCCUUUCUGCGUCGACUGGGCCACAAAGAUCGUGUCAUCCCGGGGUGUGUCCCAGUCAGACCAGAGCUGAAGCAGAGACCAGCCACGGCCAUCCUUGCCUGCCCUCGAGCGGUGCAGCGGGAAGCAGCGUGGACAAGGGGACUGUGCUUUCUCUCGGCGUGUGGUCUUCUCGGUGGACCUGCUUUCCCGCUCCCCGUCUCGGGAGGAGAUGGGCACAGGCAAGGGCAUAGAUGCUGCGGAUUGAGGGGUCUAACUGAAGUCACAGAGCUGACGCCUGUCGGGCUGGGGCCCAGGCCUCCCUUCAACAGCACUCGGCAAUAUAACAGAGGCAGGAAUCGGCCAGCGAUUUCUAUAAAGGACCAGAAAAUAUUUUAAGCUUUGCAGCUACUAUAACUACUCAGCUCUGCCUUUAUAGCUCGAAAGGAGUCCUGGACAAUGUGUGAACACGCGCAUGUGGCUCCAAUAAAACUUUAUAACAACAGGAGGCGGACAGGAUUGGGCCCACUAUCUUCAGUCUGCGGACAAGAGUAUUGAUCAUUCACUGAUCCCGUACAAUGUUCCGGAUCACGGGCCGAGCACUCCGUGGGCAUUCUCUCAAUUGAUUCUCAACAGUCCUACGAGAGUAGCGUGAUUGCCACAGUCCCACAGAUAUGAAGAGUGAGGCUCAGAUCGACAGGUAACUGGCCCAAAGCCUGGAAAGGGUAACUGGCAGAGCUGAAAGUCUACCCUUAACCUCCAGAGUCUUAACUAAUCAUCCAUAGACCAUGGUACCUCCCAGAUGCACUAAAACCUUUGGUUUCAGAGGUUGAAUGAAACUACUUUGAAGACUGCUCCUGUCCCGACACACUGGUUGACUAGCCACUCCAGUUUGCCUGGGAUGCAGGGGCUUCUCAGGACUUUUUAUGGUAAGACCGGGAUGCUCUCAAGCAAACCAGCACGGCUGGCCACCCUGCAAUCAGGCAUUUGGAUGGUGCAUUUGUGGCCUGUUCAACUGAAC